AUGAACGCUGGCGGCGUGCCUAAUACAUGCCAGUCGCGCGAACAGACGAGGAGCUUGCUCCUCUGACGUUAGCGGCGGACGGGUGAGUAACACGUGGAUAACCUACCUAUAAGACUGGGAUAACUUCGGGAAACCGGAGCUAAUACCGGAUAAUAUAUUGAACCGCAUGGUUCAAUAGUGAAAGACGGUUUUGCUGUCACUUAUAGAUGGAUCCGCGCCGCAUUAGCUAGUUGGUAAGGUAACGGCUUACCAAGGCAACGAUGCGUAGCCGACCUGAGAGGGUGAUCGGCCACACUGGAACUGAGACACGGUCCAGACUCCUACGGGAGGCAGCAGUAGGGAAUCUUCCGCAAUGGGCGAAUGCUUGACGGAGCAACGCCGCGUGAGUGAUGAAGGUCUUCGGAUCGUAAAACUCUGUUAUUAGGGAAGAACAAAUGUGUAAGUAACUAUGCACGUCUUGACGGUACCUAAUCAGAAAGCCACGGCUAACUACGUG
rnacentral:rRNA from 1 species